AUGACUCGUCCAUGCAUUGCAUGCACGCAAAUGCAGAAGAUCCCGCCAAAGUUCUGCAAGCACAUCCCCUGGGAGGCGUCCAGGAAGGCCAAGGGCCUGAAGGAGGCGUCCAUGGCGGCCACGCUGGAGGGCCCCAGCGGCCGGACGUGGCAGGUCGUCAUCCGCCGGACCGCCGAGGGCACCUUCUUCACCGCGGGCUGGGCCAAGUUCGUGCAGGACCAGGCGCUGCGGGAGCUGGAGUUCCUCGUCUUCCGCCACGACGGCGGCACCAGCUUCGCCGCCAUGGUGUUCGACAAGUCGGCGUGCGAGCGGGAGGACCUGCUGCUCGCCGGCGACGCGCCGCGGCCGCGCAGGAAGCGGGGCCGGCCGAGGACGGCGUCGCGGGCCCUGGAUGACUCGGCUGGCAUGGAGCUGGUCCCGUACCGUGCGCCUGCCGAUCGGCUGCCCCAAGCCGCGUGCUCCGAUCGGAUGCCGGAGUCGGACAAGUCAAAUGGUACAUGUUCCCUCUGUUUCUCUUCCUUCUACAUAGCAUUCAGAUUUGGCUUCUCAGACGCAAUGGCGAUGUGUUCCGUUCAACACAAUGCAUGUAACGGUCUUGCAGGAUCAGCGGGGCAUCCCGGCCCUAUGAAGGCCGAGGUGGGCGCCGGCGAGCUCCCGCUGUGCUUGAUCGCCGCACCACCGUCGGAGUCGGGGCAGCUCCUGCCUGGCCACUUGCCAGCCGGGACCAAGGACGGGUGCGCGGUGAAAACGCGGAGCAUCCACGGCGACCUCGCGGCGGCCAGCAUCCCCCCUUCCGUGAGGAAGUACAACGGGUACGUGUCCCGGCGGCGGCCCGUGGCGAGCGCCGAGCGGCAGCGGGCCAUGGAGCUCGCGCGCGCGUUCCGGUCGUCGCUCCCCUACUGCGUCAUCCGCAUGAGCACCAUGCACGUCUACUACUCCUUCAUGAUGAGGUUCCCCACGGGGUUCUCGAGGCAGCACCUGCCCCGGGAGAAGACGGAGAUGGUGCUCCGGGACCCGGGCGGCAAGGCGUGGGCGGCGCUCUACAUCCCCAGCACGAGGGACCGGCUGUCGCGCGGGUGGUGCGCGUUCGCGCGCGGCAACUGCCUCGAGGAAGGGGACUGCUGCGUCUUCGAGCUCGUCGGCGCCGCCGAGUUCCGCGUCCACGUGUUCCGGGUGGUCGAGCCCGCCGUGCCGGCGGUCAGGCUACGUUUAGCUUGA
rnacentral:rRNA from 1 species